UCUUGGAAGCGUGACAAGGUCAGAGGAAUUGAGCUUCUAGCGCAUGAUCCAGAGGCCAAGGAAUUCAACUUGACAAUUACGAGCGGACCAGCUCAGUUUGUAGUGCUGGGGUCACCAGAGGAGGUCUGAAUAGUCCCACUAAAUGGCGUCGCGUAUAAGCUAAUCUUCUGAGAUCAUUCAUUCAUGCCAUUCCAUCCCUCCAGGUUGGACGAGCACUACUCGCUCGCUACCAGACCGUGCCCGACGUGGAAAAGGCGGAGCUCUUGAAGGUGGACUCUUUCCCAGAUCGUGACAAUAGCAGGAG